AUUGAACGCUAGCGGGAUGCUUUACACAUGCAAGUCGAACGGAGGGGCGGACGGGUGAGUAAUAUAUCGGAACGUGCCCAGUAGCGGGGGAUAACUACUCGAAAGAGUGGCUAAUACCGCAUACUAAUGGAGCGGCCGAUAUCGGAUUAGUUAGGUGGGGGGGUAAAGGCUCACCAAGGAAACGAUCCGUAGCUGGUGUGAGAGGACGACCAGCCACACUGGAGCUUGGACACGGCCCAGACGCCUACGGGAGGCAGCAGUGGGGAACUUUGGACAGUGGGGGAAACCCUGAUACAGCCAUCCCGCGUGUAUGAUGAAGGCCUUCGGGUUGUAAAGUACUUUUGGCAGAGAAGCGGUAUCUGCAGAAUAAGCACCGGCUAACUACGUGCCAGCAGCCGCGGUAAUAC
rnacentral:rRNA from 1 species